UACGUAGGGUGCAAGCGUUAAUCGGAAUUACUGGGCGUAAAGCGUGCGCAGGCGGUUUUGUAAGUCUGUCGUGAAAUCCCCGGGCUUAACCUGGGAAUGGCAUUGGUGACUGCACGGCUAGAGUGUGUCAGAGGGGGGUAGAAUUCCACGUGUGAGCAGUGAAAUGCGUAGAGAUGUGGAGGAAUACCGAUGGCGAAGGCAGCCCCCUGGGAUAACACUGACGCCUCAUGCACGAAAGCGUGGGGAGCAAACAGG
rnacentral:rRNA from 1 species